AUAACGUAUAAAUAUUUAAAUUUUUAUUCAACACGACUGAUGUGAAGUUUUGUUUAAUCUACGAUAUCUGUACAACUGUACUUUUACUACCGAUUAUGAAUUACUAAAUAUUAUAUACAUUUGUUUUAUUUUUGUUUUAAUUAUCCCUUAUUGUUAAUUUAUUAAUAAUGGUAAAUAAAUGUGUAGUUCAGGGUUGUAAGACUACUACUGUCAAAGGAUAAAAAGUGCAUGUGUAAAUAUUACAUAUUAUUAUUAGGCUAUAUUCUUAAUUUCUUAAAAAUGUAUUUUUUUUUAUUUUUUAUUAGGAUACCCAAAGUUAAUAUUGGUCAGUUAUGGAUCCAGGCUAUAAAAUAGUAUCAGCCAAAUGUUGUGCCAAAAUCUCGGUAAAUUGUGUGUAAUUUGCAUUUUUUAAAUUCAAUCACAAUCAUAAUAUUGUUGGCGAAAAAUUAAUGCUCAAUAAGUUUGCUGUAACAAAUAUUUUGAAGCCAUUAGUGAAAAUAAUGAUUUGUUAUAGUGUUAUAGACUUUCAUAUACCACAUGUAAUAUUACACUUGAAUUCAAGUAAUAGUUAAUUAGUAUGUAUGUGGUAGUAAUCAUAACCCUAUUUCUAGAUAUCACCAAAACAACAGGUGUGGCACCCUAUGACAUCAAUUAAACCAUAUAAAAGAAAGAUGAAAAUUACCAUAAUUAAGAUUAAUUCUAGUCAUGGAACUGCAAGCAACUUCACGUCAAUUUGUAUCAGAUUUGUUUAACACUGAAUUAUUUAAUUAACGUAUUAUAAAAAGUUUAAGUCUCUUAUUUAAUUGAAAAUUAUACAUCAUCAACUGCUCAAUUGAAAUCGAACUGGUGGCACUUAAUAAGAGGAAACUAUAGUAACACUGAAUAAUUUGCCUUCAACUAGUAGUUCCUGAUCAUGUUUGUUUCCAUUAUCAAUUGAAAAUUCCGGCAAGGAAUAUGAAGUUUCAUUAUCUGAAAAACUGUCAUGAAAAAGAAAAAGUUACAUACAUGUGGGAUACUAGGUGAAAUAAUUAUUAACGCGGAUUAAGAAAUAAUAUAACAAUGUAUUAAUAUACU